rnacentral:lncRNA from 1 species
ACUUGAGUGGCCGGAACCCUUGAGACCAGAGGCUUACCAUGCUGCUCCCUAGGAGGGCCAGGAACUGCUGACGUGACCACUGGACAGUUAUUCGUGUCUCUUACAAUUACCAAACAGAAUGGACAAGCUUAAUAAAAUAACCGUCCCCGCCAGUCAGAAGUUGAGGCAGCUUCAAAAGAUGGUCCAUGAUAUUAAAAACAAUGAAGGUGGAAUAAUGAAUAAAAUCAAAAAGCUAAAAGUCAAAGCACCUCCAAGUGUUCCUCGAAGGGACUACGCUUCAGGUAAGAGAGCCCUGCUGACGAAGAGGAGCAGUGGUCCGAUGACUUUGACAGCGACUAUGAAAAUCCAGAUGAGCACUCGGACUCAGAGAUGUACGUGAUGCCCGCCGAGGAGAACGCUGAUGACAGCUACGAGCCGCCUCCAGUAGAGCAGGAAACCAGGCCGGUUCACCCAGCCCUGCCCUUCGCCAGAGGCGAGUAUAUAGGCUGAUUAUGUGGUCCCCGUGGAAGAUAAUGAUGAAAACUAUAUUCAUCCCACAGAAAGCAGUUCACCUCCACCUGAAAAAGGUCGAAACAGUGGGGCCUGGGAAACCAAGUCACCUCCACCAGCUGCACCAUCCCCGUUGCCACGGGCCGGGAAAAAACCAACGACACCACUGAAGACAACUCCAGUUGCCUCUCAACAGAAUGCUUCAAGUGUUUGUGAAGAAAAACCUAUACCUGCUGAACGCCACCGAGGGUCAAGUCACAGACAAGAAGCUGUGCAGUCACCAGUGUUUCCUCCUGCCCAGAAACAAAUCCACCAAAAACCCAUACCUCUGCCAAGAUUUACAGAAGGGGGAAACCCAACUGUGGAUGGGCCCCUACCCAGCUUUUCAUCUAAUUCCACUAUUUCAGAACAGGAAGCUGGCGUUCUCUGCAAGCCAUGGUAUGCUGGAGCCUGUGAUCGAAAGUCUGCUGAAGAGGCAUUGCACAGAUCAAACAAGGAUGGAUCAUUUCUUAUUCGGAAAAGCUCUGGCCAUGAUUCCAAACAACCAUAUACACUAGUUGUAUUCUUUAAUAAGCGAGUAUAUAAUAUUCCUGUGCGAUUUAUUGAAGCAACAAAACAAUAUGCCUUGGGCAGAAAGAAAAAUGGUGAAGAGUACUUUGGAAGUGUUGCUGAAAUCAUCAGGAAUCAUCAACAUAGUCCUUUGGUUCUUAUUGACAGUCAGAAUAACACAAAAGAUUCCACCAGACUGAAGUAUGCAGUUAAAGUUUCAUAAAGGGGGAAAAAAAAGAUCAAUACCAUUGCUUCAGACACUUUCCCAAAGUUUCUCCUUUUGAGAAAAAGUCCCAAAACUUCAUAUUUUGGAUUAUGAAUCAUCCAGUAAUAAAAUGGAAGAUGGAGUCAGCUAUUGAAGUGGUCAUCCAUUUCUUUUUAAGAAGCUCAUGUGGACUUGUUCUAUUGCCUGACCUGAUGAACUGUUAAUAUCUGGUGAGGUUGAGUUAUCAUGCUACUAAUAUUUUCCAAAUAAAUAUUUUUAUUUUUAAAAAUAA